rnacentral:rRNA from 1 species
GACGAACGCUGGCGGCGUGCCUAAUACAUGCAAGUAGAACGCUGAAGGAUGGUCUUGCUUCCCAGUGUGAGUGCAGCAAGGGUGAGUAUCGCGUAGGUGACCUGCCUCGUAGCGGGGGAGAAAUAUUUGAAACGAUAACUCAAACCCCAUAUGAGUACAUGACGCACAACUUUUACGUUAAAGGUGUACAUGUACAUCUACCAGAUGUAAUUCCGCGUUGUAUUAGCUAGUUGGUGAGGUAAAGGCUCACCAAGGCGAUGAUACAUAGCCGACCUGAGAGGGUGAUCGGCCACAUUGGGACUGAGACACGGCCCAAACUCCUACGGGAGGCAGCAGUAGGGAAUCUUCGGCAAUGGACGAAAGUCUGACCGAGCAACGCCGCGUGAGUGAAGAAGGUUUUCGGAUCGUAAAACUCUGUUGGUAGAGAAGAACGUUGGUGAGAGUGGAAAGCUCAUCAAGUGACGGUAACUACCCAGAAAGGGACGGCUAACUACGUG